rnacentral:lncRNA from 1 species
AUGACCUUGGGGAAAUCAUUUUACCAACCUACAGAUAUGUCUCCCAAUAUGCAAAGUGAAGAUAAUUCUGUCUGCCCAUCUACCCCCAGGUCUCCAGUUAUGCAAGCUCACUUGGAAUUUAGAACCUUUGUGCCCAGACUGUUGGCUGUCCCACUCACUCAUCCAAUACAAGUUUGGACAGCCACUCUUGAUCACAUGGUGAUGAUCACAUGCAACCUGGCAGACAUGGGGCUAGACACCAUCGACAAAACUGAUAAAUAGGAAAUUCACUUCACCUGCUCCAUGUGAGCCUGUAUACUGGUAAGUAUGGAGGCUAGAGAAGAAAUCGUCAU